GUAGGUUAGUCAUAAAGCCACAUUCACUCUCUUGCUUUCUCUGUCGCAUGCACUCUCUUGCCCUUCCACCUAGUUUCCAUGUUAUGAUGCAGCAAGAAGGCCCUUGCCAGAUGUGGCUCCUGGAUUGUGGACUUUUCAGCCCCCAGAACUGUGAGCCAAACAAACUUCUUUUGUUCAUAACUUCCCCAGUCUGUGAUAUCCUGUUACAGCAGCAGAAAAUGGACUAAGACACCCAGGGAUGUACCUGGAACCUGGAAAAAGGAAAGGAGGCACUGAGGGACUCACAUGAAGCUACUCUGUCAGCAUUCUAAAACUUCUGACAUUCUUUUCUAUGAAGAUAAUUGAAUCACCAAAUUUGAUGAAAUGUUCCCCAAAUAUCAGAGACCAUCAAGCUUCAGAUGAUGAUGCAACAAAGGUUUCAGCCAGUUCCAGGUGAAGACACCACCCUUGGACAUCAAGAAGCUACCCUGCCUCCACUAGAUAGAGCAGGGAGAGUUCUGUGAUCCCCAAUAGGUAAGGACUAUGCCCCAAGCCAGCAUGAAGCAGUUACCAAAAAAGAUCAUCGGUCCCUCUGCCUCCCAUAAAGAUUUAUGGGAUCACAUCUCUCAGGGAGGAGAUGAGGCAGGAAAAUACGGUCUGGAGGCAGGAAACAUAAGGACAAUUCACACUUCAGCUAUGACAGGAAAUAUCCUCUCCAUAGGGCAUAGGCCAAGUAAAUGACUUUGCAACUUUACUUCAUCCUCUUCAUUUAUGUAGUAUGUGUCCCAAUCCUCUAGAGGAUAUUGAAACUCCCAAAAUUCUAAAUAGUGUGGACUUGGAGCCCCUAUGCUCAGGCCCGCUCCCACACUAUGGAGUGUACUUUCCUUUACAAUAAAACCCUCCAUUUCUUCC
rnacentral:lncRNA from 10 species